CUCAUUGCAAGCCAAGUCAUUUGUCCCUAGAUGGACAAGUACAUCCAAUUUCCCUUCUUGCUUUGCUCGCUUAACAAUAUUACAGAUAUGUCUCCCGUCUCUGUGAGCAGUAGCUCCAGGAAGACACCUCACAAGACCACCAUUGUCCAUCUCCACACCUCUUAUGAUGGAAUCCCCCAACAACAACUGCUUUCUAUUAGGCCUUACUAUAGUCUCCAAGCCGGUCUCCU